GCUUACCUUGGCGCCCUUGUGCAGCAGCGCCUCCGCCGAGGCUCUGCCGAUGCCCUGCGCCGCGCCGGUCACCAGCGCCACUUUGCCGUUCACGUGCAUGGCGCUGCCGCUGCUCCGGGCGGUGGGCGAGCUCCGUGUCCCGGCCUCGGCGCCGCGCAGCCUUUAUAGCCCCCGCCGCGCGCUGUCCUGCGAGUGGGCGGGGAGGAGCCUGUCCGGCCCGCGCCGGAGCCCACGGCCGUGUCACCUGGCCCCGAGCGCUCCGAGGCGCCCAGCGUCGCGAUCUUUGCCUCCCGGACGCGGAGCCCGGGUCAGAGCCCCUCCUCGGCCUCCCACGGAGGGGCCCCCCGGCCGGGCGCUGACACGGACAAACAGCAAGGUUAUUUCCCCCAAAAGAUGACCCUCGGGGCGCUGAAGACCACCCGGAGAAGAGCAGCACAGGGGAGGGGCUCGGGAGCUUGGUUUCCUCCUCCUCCUCCUCCUCCUCCUCCUCCUCCUCCUCCUCCUCCCUUCAGGUCCUCCCCUCUUCGAUCCCCCCCCCCCCCCCAAAAAAAAAGAAUAAAAACCAAGCAAACAGCAAAAUUUUAGGGAUGGUACUCCUUGUCUCAAUCUAAGUUUAUGUCUGAAUUCCCAUGUCAUGACCACUGUGGUGUCAACUGGGCUCCCCCGAACAGUAAGCAUUUACUUGCACAGGACUUGCAGAGUCGCUGUGAGCCUGGUAAACAGUUGGUUCAAUGGAAUGCUUACUCAUCGACUCAUACUCGCCUUGGAGGCUCUGGGUAUGGGAAAGAGGUUCUCUGUCCUCCAGGAACUUGAGUAUAAGCUGUGUAUCCAAGAUGCAUUCAGCCACGGCUAUUCUUCUGACCUAAUCACUUUUUUUUUUUCUUGUUAUCACCUGCAGGCUUCAAUUUUAACGCUUGUAAGCUUAAUACCUGGUUGGCACCUAUUAGGAACAAAGAAGCCUAAGCAUUUCAGGAGAUGAAAGUCAGGCAACAGGCUUAAAUGAACUGCAGAAUGAAUCCUUUGUGUACUUCUUUGCUGCUUACAGGAGAUAAGGGGGAAGGUGACUGGGUCAGCAGUGAAGGCGUGGGGGGAGCAGGGAGGGUGCUGUGUAAAAUACAGGCUGUCACUAAGCCAGCUAAGAAACACUUCCAAGUUGAUUUGAAAUUGGGUCUUCAAAAAAUGUUGAGAAAUUAAGACAGAGUAAGUUGAGAGAUGUACUGAAAAAGAACACCAGAGGACAUCUUUAAAAAGGAAACAAAAACCCAAUACCUCUAGUGGCAUGGACAGUACAUAGAAGAAAAAAAGGAAAGAGCUCUUCAGCAGGAAGGAACUAGCGGGGGAGGAACCACUAGAGCCACAUUGGACCAUGUUGGGACAGCAAAGUGUCGCCACAAAGAUGGGGAAAAUAGCUUCAAGAAGAAAGGUGGAGUUAAUUGACAAACUAAGGAGCACAAGGGAAGGACAGAUGGAGAAAUGCUUUGAAUUUUUAAGAAAAGAAUUAGUGUGAGUACGUUCACAAGGCAUAGAAACCAAAUUGAAAUUUAAGGAGAAGACGGCUGGUGAGAAGAUGGGGAUCGCAGGAGCUCAAGACAUCACAUGGGAAGAAAUAGAUUGGACAGUAGUCAGAAACAUUAGAGGAAAAACCAAGUUUUCCUUUAAGGAAGGACAGAAAUACAGAUUCAAUGUAAAAGGCCAGUGUCCACUAGAGUGAGAGGCACUGGAAGCAGUCUGGAGGGGCGUGGGGUGAGAUAUCAGAGCUUCAGCUUCAGAUUCAGACAAAAUAGGUCUGGAUCCUGCCUCUGUUUCUGACCAGCACUGUGACCUGGGACAAGUUGCUUCAACUCUCUGUGCCUCAGACUUCUUAGUAGUAAAGAAGCAGUUCCUAUGAGAAUUUGGUGAAAAUUAAAUUAGGAAAUACGUGUAAAGCACAGUGCCUGGCACAGAGCCAUACAAUAAAUAUCUGUUCUAAGUAAUUACUUCGGGAUUAUUAAUAAAUAAUACCUGAGAGAUAGAAAAGAAAAUGUGACAGUUUUUGUUUAUUUGGGUUAUUUACUUAUUUCUAAUACACAGGAAGGACUGGGAUCUAGGGCAGUUGAGACCCUUCUUCUCAGCUUUCAUUGUUAGUGUCUUUAUUCAGACCCUUGACUUUCUCCUGUGAUAACGAUAGCAGUUAACAUCCUGAAUUACUUUGCCCACAAAUUUCCUAAAUCCAUUUCAGCUUCCACAUUCCUCUCAGUAAAAGUUCUAAACUGUAGAUCUCAUCAUGUUUGGACAUUUCAAAAUCCGUAAACUAUCUGAACUCUAGGGCACUGCAUAGGAGGAGGGCACCACAUUCCAUGCCCCUGCCUAUCCCCUGGCCCCUCUAUUUAAAGUCUAGAAAGCAGAAUCACUUAAAACCUAACCCCAUUCCCCAAGCUCAGGCCUUUGCCAUCUUCUAUCUGCUCACCUGAGGAUACGUCCCCUCCUACUUUCUUCACUUGUCUUCCAACUCAGCUAUGAAAAUUUUACAGUGACAACACCCAUCACAUUAUUCUAAUGAUCUUACUAUCUCUGUGUGUCCAGCUCUCCUUGAAGAGAGAGCUGGGUUUUUGUUUUUGUUUUUUUUUCUAGAAAUCUCCAGCAUCCAGCACAGGGCCACCCAAAGUGUGUGCUCGUACAUAUUGAACAACGAACAGUACAAAUAAACAUGAGAUACGUGUCUGAGAGAAGACAGAAAAUUUGAAAGAGAUGAUAUGAAGACUUAGUUCAAAAUGGAAAAAGAGUAAUGAUAAGGGUAGAGUUCCAGCUCCAGAAUACAGGAGAACACUAUUUGAAUUAGAAAGAACAAAGCAGAGACACCUGGGUGGCUCAGUGGUUGAAUAUCUGCCUUUGGGUCAGGGCGUGAUCCCCAGGCCCUGGGAUUGAGUUCUGCAUAAGGC